rnacentral:rRNA from 1 species
CACAAGCGGUGGAGCAUGUGGUUUUAAUUCGAAGCAACGCGCAGAACCUUACCAGCCCUUGACAUACCGGUCGCGGACACAGAGAUGUGUCUUUCAGUUCGGCUGGACCGGAUACAGGUGCUGCAUGGCUGUCGUCAGCUCGUGUCGUGAGAUGUUGGGUUAAGUCCCGCAACGAGCGCAACCCUCGCCCUUAGUUGCCAGCAUUUAGUUGGGCACUCUAAGGGGACUGCCGGUGAUAAGCCGAGAGGAAGGUGGGGAUGACGUCAAGUCCUCAUGGCCCUUACGGGCUGGGCUACACACGUGCUACAAUGGUGGUGACAGUGGGCAGCGAGCACGCGAGUGUGAGCUAAUCUCCAAAAGCCAUCUCAGUUCGGAUUGCACUCUGCAACUCGAGUGCAUGAAGUUGGAAUCGCUAGUAAUCGCAGAUCAGCCAAGCUGCGGUGAAUACGUUCCCGGGCCUU